rnacentral:misc_RNA from 1 species
UUUCCGUAGGUGAACCUGCGGAAGGAUCAUUAAAAAAUUGGACUCCAUUGGUGAGUUCAUUAAUAAUCCCUACCCUUUGUGAAUUUGUUUGUUUGAAUAAUUUUUUUUCCAAAAGAAAAAUUAUUGAAUGUCUUCCCUGUUUUGGUGGAGCUUGUAAAGUGAAACCAGGCAGGGGAAUGGCAAACAAUAAUUAUUUUUUGAAAAAAGACCUUUUUUAAAAUUAAACUUUUUGUAUUCAUUUGUCUAAAAUUAUUUUUAUAAUAUAAAAACAACUUUUGACAAUGGAUCUCUUGGUUCUCGCAACGAUGAAGAACGCAGCAAAAUGCGAUAAGUAGUGUGAAUUGCAGAAUACGUGAAUCAUCGAAUCUUCGAACGCAUAUUGCACUUUUUUAGUUUACUAAAAAAGUAUGUCUGUUUGAGUAUCAGUAAAAUAUUCUCAUAAAAAACAUUGUUUUUUUAUGGUUAUGAGUGUUUUACAACGAUAACAAGUUGUUUCACUUUAAAUUCUUUGUUAUCAAAAAAUCAUUAAAAGCUAAUUUUAAAGAUUUUUUAAAAUUGGAUAAAAUUUCCCGUAAAAAGGAAUAACCUAAACAAUUUUAAAAAAUUAGAAUUGGUUUGAUUUUUUUUGAAACCCAAAGGAAAAAAAAACGAAAUUAACUUGAUCUCAAAUCAGAUAAGAGUACCCGCUGAACUUAAGCAUAUCAAUAAGCGGAGGAAAAGAAACUAACUAGGAUUCCCUCAGUAACGGCGAGUGAAGCGGGAAGAGCUCAAAUUUGAAAUCUUCAAGGUUUUACCUUGACGAAUUGUAGUUUAAAGAAGUGUUUCUGUUGGAGUUUUGGUAAAAGUUCUUUGGAAAAGGACAUCAUAGAGGGUGAGAAUCCCGUAUUUGACCAUGUAUCUCCAGCUUUGUGAUACACUUUCAAAGAGUCGGAUUGUUGGGAAUGCAGUCCAAAAUGGGUGGUAAAUUUCAUCUUAAAGCUAAAUACUGGCGAGAGACCGAUAGCGAACAAGUACCGUGAGGGAAAGAUGAAGAGAACUUUGAAAAGAGAGUUAAACAGUACGUGAAAUUGUCAAAAGGGAAGCGUUUGACACCAGUGUUGUUUUCUCGAAAAUCAAUUAAAAAAGGCCGGAUUUUGUGUUGUAUUGACUUUAUCAGCUUUCUGCACUUUUUUCUUGUCUUUUUUAAUGCACUUUUCGUUUAACAAGUCAACAUCAAUUUCUUUGUUGUAAAAGGGUCAUUGGAAGGUGGCUUUCUUUUCGGAGAAAGUGUUUAUAGCCUUUGGCCUCUGCAAUCGGAGAGAUUGAGGUCUGCAGCGUAGAUCCUUCGGGGUUAGAUACAUUGUGCUAAGUUAUAGCCUUUCAUAGACAACUUGUUGACUAUGAUCAGUCAUGUAGCUUACUCGCUUAUGCUAUUUUACCUACGCUUAGGAUGU